UAUAAACAAAAGGUGUAGUAUAUUACUAGUAUAAUAUAUACGAUAACUACAGGUCAACUUCGUUAAAUAAUAUAUAACGUCACGAGUUUAGUCGACGAAGAACAUUCAACAAGAUUAGAUCUACGAAAUAUAUUAGAACAAUGAUUCACGAUUUGAUCAAGCAAUGAUCAACCAACGUUCGUCUUAAUCUCGAAUAUCAUCUUCGUCACAUAUUUAUUGUUUAAUGCAUAUAUAUAUAUAUAUAUAUAUAUAUAUAAAUAUAUAUAUAUAUAUAUAUAUAUAUGUAUAUGGUCCCAACAACGUUGUUGCAUAAUUAAUAAAAUACUUGAUACGCCGACGUGUGGCUACAAAUAGGGAUAGCAUGCGGCUAAUUCAUCGUAGCGAGCGAUCGCACGAUUAUGAUUUUAUUGCACGACGUUGUGAGCACACUUUCGUCGCACCAUCAAAGGAUAAGGAUAAAGAUUUGCGAGCUUAAUUAAUGCUUACCUCGUAAAAGAGAUUUAUAAUUACGAUAAUGUACGUGGGAGAGUGGCUGUCCAUAAUGACCGAGUUAUUUCAAGAUUAUCGACAUAGAAAAAAGUCGAGCUUGUGAAAAUAAUAAUUUCUCUUUUCGUUUCUUCCUUUC